AACGAACGCUGGCGGCAUGCCUAACACAUGCAAGUCGAACGAGACGGUCGGGUCUAGGGGCGCACGGGUGCGUAACGACGGGGAACCUACCCUUAGGUUCGGAAUAACUCCCCGAAAGGGGUGCUAAUACCAGUUAAUGUCUUAGGGCCAAAGACUUAUCGCCUUUGGAUGGGCGCGCGUUAGAUUAGCUGGUUGGUAGGGUAAUAGCCAGCCAAGGCGACGUUGCAUAGCUGGUCUGAGAGGAGGCCCAGCAGCGCUUGGACUGCGACACGGCCCAGUCGGGGACGCGACGCAGCAGUGUAGUACAUUGUACAAUGGGCGCAAGUCUAGUCCCGCCGUGUCGCGUGUGUGAUGAAUGCCUUAGUGUUGCAAAGCCCUCUUAGCCGGGACGAGAAUGACAGUACCGGGUGAAUAAGCACCGGCUAACUCCGUG
rnacentral:rRNA from 1 species